rnacentral:lncRNA from 12 species
CAGGCACCAUGAACAUUUUUUCCAGAUGGAGGGGCUGCCCCUUCUCUCUGUAAACUCAGCCGACCAAGGAGAAUUCUCCUCUGGCAAGCUCAGAGGCCCUGCUGGGAGUCCUGCAAAGGAGACACUGAUUUCCUCGCUGGUCACAAGGAGCCUGUGGGACCUGAGCUGGUUGCUCUGGGUCUGGAUGACGGUAUCUGGAAAUGUCUCGCCAGCUCCCUGCAUCACACCGAGGCCUGGCAUCAGCCAGUCAGAGAGGAAAACGUGUUCAAGUCACUCGUCCCUCACACACUUUGGGAAAAUCGUAACUCUUUCAAAACAGAUGGAUCAAGAAAUUGAGUGUCUCCUUCCACCCGGCCUCUUCCACGUGGCACUUGAAGACCCCAGAGGAAGGAAGAACACGUGAGCAAGCACAGCAGCGACCACGUUGCCUGGCUUGCUGUGUGCACAUGGCGGUCCCUUAUGAGCUCCAUGGGUCUGCAGACGUGACUUUCUUACGCAGUAGGGUGGGUGUUCUAUUCCUCCCUCAUUGUUUCCCCUGCUCACCCUUGGAGUGGGGUCCUUAGCAUGGUAACUCACCCAUACGAUUCAAUGAAAGGGGUUCCAUAUUAGUAAAAAUAUGAAUUCUAGAUGCUUCUCUCUGGAAGGUUUGGAAGAUUAGAGCCCAUUCCCAAGACUGGGACAAGGCAGGUGAGGCAGCUGGGGCACAUCUAGGAUGUACUACCUCUACUGAGAAGGAUGUCACCUUGGAUUUGUACCCUAUGUGCCUUUCUGGUCUUCCCCUGGUUCCUGGUUGUGGGUUCUGGUGCAUGCUGGUCAUGAGGAGCUGUAGUCAUCUCUCAGGAUGGAGGCAACACUGAAGAUCUCUGUGGCCCUGACUUCAGAGAGAUCUAGGAGGUGGUGCCUGGCCAGGAAUGACUGAGGGUCAAGACACAAAAGGCUGUCUGUGUGUAGGCCAUUGGGUGACUAGGGGACAGGGCACUGCAUGUAUAUGGGACCCUGGCUCUGUGGGUUUGGGAUCGGCCCAUAAAUCUUCCUGGCGAUGUUUAAUGUCUGCAUCACUUUCAGACUUUUCAGGACAUCAUGGAAGGGUCACGAAGAUGAAAUGACACAAAGUUAAAUCAAGGGACAUGAAAUAAAAUAAAACAAAAUUAAAGAAAAAUCCA